UGGCAGACUGUGACCAUUCCCCUAUUCUGCAGUUCUUCACCUUGCUGCCACUCUCAACUGCUGUUGUACCUUCAGGAUCCAAUAUUCCAUGUGUCUCGUAAAGGGGCCUUCACUUUCAAAAUUCUUUUCCUGUUUCACUAGCUUAGAUCCAGAAAAGAUUGUCACACAGUGGGUCAAUGUUGUGCUCUUUUUAAUAAGCUGACUCUUACCUUCACAAUACUUCCAGCCCACUCACUUUGGGGAGCCAGAGUUUAAGCCUGACAUUAGAACUCCACUCUCAUGCUCGAGGACUUGGCUCAUUGCAUUAUAAUUAUUUUUUUCUUUUCCCACAGGUUCUCAUUAACUGAGACAUGGGUUCCCAAAGCUGUGACAGCAAAGUUCCCAUCACUGUUAUGAAUGGUCCCACAAACAAUUGCCCCUUGCUCUUUCCCUGUCUGUGCUUCGUUUCCAGGAGCUUUUUCAUGGUAGAGCCUCAACAUGAGCUGUCUUCACCAAGACCCCGGAGAUACUGAUGAGUGUAUUCUCCAAAGGCAUGAAUGUGACCCUCAUGACCUUUGGAGAGUUGGAUACCAGGAAGUGGCACUUUCUGACUGGUGACAGGAGUGACCCUCUAUCUCUCUGACUAUCGAUUACCUCUUUGGGGAGCUGUUGACUGAGAAGAGAUUAGCAGCUGCAUCUCCAUAAAUAGCCUAAUCCAGUCUGGUGCUAGCUGAAAAUUGUGGAUCUUCCUGGAGCAGAGAAACUCCCACCCCACAGGUUCUCAGUGAGGUUAAGAGAGAAGCCUCUGCUGAAGAAGUCCCUGGUGGCUUUCUACUGGGUUGUCAAUCAGCUGGCAGGUUCCCCAUAUCCAAAUUGAAUGAUCAACUACAGCUAUACUAAGGAUUCCCAGCCUCUACCCUUGGACUCGCCCAUCCACUCCCUGCAGCCUGAUGAUUCAGUGCUCGUACGUACCUGGAAAGACGAGCCGCUCCAGGAAAAGUGGAAGGGACCCUAUACCGUUCUGCUGGUCUCCCACACGGCAGCAAAGUCAUUGCUUACUCAGUACUGGGCAAAGAUCCUGGCCCUUCAGCACCGACUGUAUGAACAGAUGGAUCUUAGGAGUGCCAUGGAGAGUGAGAGCAUAGGCACCCUCCGAGAACAGGUCCAGUGCCUCACCAAUGAAAACGUGCAGCUGCAGGAUAGGAACGAAAGACUGUACACAAAGCUUGGAGAACUGCAGGAGAAGAUGGGGAAUCUGGCUGGUUCCAAAACGGAUUUGUCAUCCAGAUUGGUCUUCAGCGAGGAGGAGAAACUUAAGAUUUCUAAGGACCUCAUUGAUCUCCAGAUCGAGACAAACAAAAUGAGAGAGCAGUAUGAGGCAGAGAACUUUGAACUGAAAAAUAUGAUCCUGACCCUGGAGAACCGUAUUCUGGAGUUGGAGCUCCAUGAUGAGAAGGUCACUGGAAAGCAUGAUGCCCUACAGGAACGCCUGCACACUGUGGAGACCAAUCGCAAAGAGCUGGCUGAUGAGUACAUCAUUCUGAAAAGCAAUUAUAUGGCCCUGGGCAAAGAACAUGAACAGGAGGUUGCUAAGAACAAAGAGUUGAGCAUGGAGCUACUAAACCUGGUCAACACCAGGAGCUCCCUUCCUCAGUCAUGGAGUAACUACUCCCCAUCCCAAGCCCUGGCCAAUGAAACCUUGGCCGAGCUGGAAAGGGUUCGGGCUGUGGUCCACCGCCUCUCUGCCCGGAAAGUGAAGCCAGAAGAUAUAGUUGCCUCUGAACAUGAACGUCGAAAACUGGAGAGAAAUUUGCUUGGAAACCAGGAUCACAGAAAAGCUGAGAUUGAAAAAAUGAAGCAAACGUAUGACUCUCAGCAACAGAAGCUGGAACAGAGAGUGGUGGCAAUGGGGAAGGAGCUGCAGCAGGCCAAAAGAGUGAUUCGCAAUACUCAGCACAAACUGGUGGAGCAGUCAGCGGUGCUGCUCACCUCUCAGAGCCAGCUCAAGGAGGUGGAGGUUGAGAAUUCCCAACUGCAGCUUCAGCUGAAGGAGCUGAAUGAGGAAUAUCGCUGUCGUCUUACUCAGUACAUCAAGGACCUGGUGGAAUAUAUGGACAGCAAAUCAAAUGCUUCUAAGGGGCCCAACAAAGUACCAGCUGACCAUGCUUACAUGAAGUGCUUUGUGGAUGGCAUGCUGAAGGACAUCCGGGCUGCCCAUAAAUCUCGGGAGGAGCAGCUGGCUGGAGCUGUGCGCGGUUACAAGAAGCGUAUGCAGAACCUCAUCAAAACACAUGAAAACCUGCUGAUUGCUUAUAGGAUGCAGCGUGAGCAGAUCCAGUCUCAGGGUGGCAGCAAGAUAGACCCAGGCCCUCCUGAGUUCCAUUUCACCAUCACAGAUUCUGAGCUACUGACAAGCACAACCCAGGAGCUAAACCAGCUGCGAGAGGACAAAGCAAAACUAGAGACACAGCUGCAUGAACUGCAGGAGAAGAAAAGACUGCGUGAAAGCUCUGCACUAGGACCAUCUCUUCACCACAAGCUGGAUGAGGUGGGCUGGGCAGAGAUCAGAAAGCAGCUCCAGGAGUUCACACAUACCACGCAGGAGGAUCUGGAGAGGGAGAGAAGCCAGCUGCUGACUCAGGCAAUUGUGGCAGAAGAGCAGGUGCUGGAGCUGCAGGAAUAUGUAGAUAAGCAUCUUGCAAGGUAUGGAAGAUGAAUUUUCAUAUCUGGUUCAAGCCUUACACAGCACUGCUGCUCUGUUCAAUGCUCUGCAGCCCAAAGAAGGACAGACAAAAGGAAAAGCAGGUAUAUUUUGCAAUGGGCUGUGACAACCUAUCACUUUAAGGUUGUCACAGAAGCUGCUCCUUCCUUCACUGUGAUGGCAAAGAGAGAAUUCAGACCUCCUGCUCCAAAAACACAAGCCCUUGACCACUUGUGCUGAAGCUUUCCUCAGGAAUACCAGGUAUGAUACCAGACUAGAUGGACCAGAGAUACACCUGCCAACAUCAAAAAGCUACAAAUGGGAACAUCUGGGGAGAAAAAAACAGAGACAAGGCCUUUCUUUUCCUUGAAAUGCAUUGGACUGGGAGAGCUUUUUGGUGGGACUAAGAAGAACAAUGAUCAAUAUAUCUAGCUAAAAAUACCCUCCCUCCUAUAUAUAGAGGUUGGCAUGACUGAGCACUUUGUAAAUGGAUCAGUAGAGGCACUGCUUUGAUCUGGAGCAGCAAAUCCUACGUGAUGAUGUGGGGAUCUGUCUAUGUACAAUGUAUGAAUUAUGAGUGAGAUUAUGAACUCUCUGUAUGGCUCUGUGCCAGGCUGCAAACUCCAUUUUGGAUGGUUUGCUGCAUUCGCUGUUGUCCUUUCAUCUCCAUGUUGGACUGAAAUUUCAAGGUAUGGGGGCCUGGGUCUAACAUUGGAGGGUUGUUAAAUCUUGAUCAUCUUCUAUUCAAACAGAAGUACCCUUGGACAUAGAGCUGCCGCUGCCCAGAAGAACCAGUCUGGGCUGGUAACCAAGCAACAGAUCACCUGGUGAGGGAUUUUGAUCACCUGCUGAGAGUGAACAGAACGUCGCUUGACAAAGGGGGUGUAUGGUUAUAGAUUAGAGGGUCCCUCAGCAGCCAUUGUAAGGAGCACAAGUGACCACAAGCAGAAGCAGUGGAAGCCUGGGCAGGAGAGUAGAAGGGGACUGACAAUAGAGGUCAGAGAAAGAGAGAUAUGGCAUGAUUCGGAAUAGAAGCCAUGUGCUGCAGGGGGGUCCUAGACUGCUCGGAGGGCUCUGCCAAAGCUCAGAGCACUCUCCAGAAUGGUGAGGAAAUUGAGGCAGGGAAAGGUAUGUAGAUGUUUUUAUUAUUUUGUGUAGAUCUGUGUAUUUCUUGUUCUACUUAAGUAAAGAGUAUUGUUGUUUAGAAUCCUA